rnacentral:rRNA from 1 species
UAUGCAACCUACCUUGAACAGGGGGAUAGCCCGGAGAAAUUUGGAUUAAUACCCCAUGGUAUAUUGAGAUGGCAUCAUCUUAUUAUUAAAGUCACAACGGUUCAAGAUGGGCAUGCGUCCCAUUAGCUAGAUGGUAAGGUAACGGCUUACCAUGGCAACGAUGGGUAGGGGUCCUGAGAGGGAGAUCCCCCACACUGGUACUGAGACACGGACCAGACUCCUACGGGAGGCAGCAGUGAGGAAUAUUGGUCAAUGGGCGCAAGCCUGAACCAGCCAUGCCGCGUGCAGGAUGAAGCAUCUAUGGUGUGUAAACUGCUUUUAUACGGGAAGAAACCCCGCCUCGUGAGGCGGAUUGACGGUACCGUAGGAAUAAGGAUCGGCUAACUCCGUGCCAGCAGCCGUGGUAAUACGGAGGAUCCAAGCGUUAUCCGGAAUCAUUGGGUUUAAAGGGUCCGUAGGCGGGCCUGUAAUUCAGUGGUGAAAGCCCAUCGCUCAACGACGGAACGGCCAUUGAUACUGCAGGCCUUGAAUUACUGUGAAGUAACUAGAAUAUGUGGUGUAGCGGUGAAAUGCUUAAAUAU